CAUGACCUGAGCCCAAGGCAGACGCCCAACUGCUGAGCCACCCAGGCGCCCCAGCCAUGAGAUACACGCAGUGAUCUACAUGACUAUUGAGAAUCAACACCUGUGUUUUUUUGCGUGUCAAAGAGAGAUCUGUACUUUAUCAACACAAACAGAACACAGUGGAUGCAUAGAGCAGAAGAUCCAGAAUUUUUUAAGACCAGUCCAGACUGAGACACAGACAUUCUAGGCACUUCCUAAAAAGAUGGGACGCUUCACGAAUUUGCAUGUCAUCCUUGCACAGGGGAGACGCUCAUCCUGUAUUGCUCCAGUUGUAGUACGUGUGCUGCAGAGGCAGGUAGAAGCAGUUGGGUUUUUCGGACCCGUAGGCUGCCGCUUUGGGCUUCCGUGCAUCAGCUUCCUACGGGGCUCUAGAGGAGAAGGCCAAAUUCGUGGAGACUUUCAAAGGAAACAAACUCUUCCUUCCUGUCCUCUGCCUGUAGCAGAAAAUAGACAAGCCAAGCAGAUGUCCAGGGAUGGCGGAGGAGUACUUCGGGCUGUAGCUGCCUUGGACAGAAAACAAACCUUCAGGAGAGCCUUGGGGGUGGGAGGUUGGGGUGGGGAGAGGGAAGGUGAUGCAGUGUUGUGUCCCGAUUCCGAAUGCAGGCAGCCCUUCUUGUCUUCUUUCUCCCCCUCCGAUGCCCUUUGUGUCUUUCCAGCUCUUUCCUAACCACCAUGAGCAUGUGAACUAAAUAUGGCCAGGGAAGUCUCCAGCAGUCACGGUAUUUUUAAACCCUUGUGCCUCCUGUGUGCAGACUCAUGUGACGUAGAUGAACCAGAUCCAGAGAGUUUCUCAUGGGAAUCCAGGAUGCUUCGCCAUAACCGCUGGCUUGGGUUGUGCAUGCCUUUGGCCUUGGUUAAUGCGGCCCUUGGGGUUUCAUUUCACAUCUUUGAGACUUGGGAAGCAGCAGACCCUGUGAGUGUGGCAGGAAUGUGCUGGGGAGGCUAUCUUCAUGGUUCCCCACAAGGAUGGCCACCUUGGGUCUGUGAAAACUUGCUGGCUGGGUAACUGGAGCCCAGCCUGGGAAGGGGGUAUAAUACCUGGGGCAUCUUAAUGCGGACAUGGGCCUUAGUGACAGGAAGGGGUUCUCACAACAUUCGAACAGCCCUUCAUGUUCAAACCCUCACUGUUGUGGCUGUCUUGUCUUGUUUUGUUGUCCUCACACAUUAUCCAGCUUUAGUUGUGAUGUUCUAUACAUGCCCCAUCCCUUCCCUUCCAGCAUUACUGUUUAUUUCUAGUUCUGAUGCUCCUGUUCAGAUCCUUUUCUCCACUGAAAACUUGUUUCACAAUGUCCUGGAUAGAAAAUAUUUUUUUCUUUAAAGAAAUAUCUUUAUUUUCAAGCAAUCUCUUCAUCAGUAUUAAAGUAUAUUUGAGGAUAAAACGACAGGGAAACCACUCACAAAUGUACUGAGUGAGAAGGAUGACCUUUAAGACAACUAUCGAAUAAUGAAAUUGUCACCACGCGUGUGGUUUCGUGCCAGAGUACGAAGUGCAGUUAGUCCUCAAAGUCACACGUUGCGCAACUCUACAUGUCACUAUUCACACUAAAGAUUGAAUUUGAUGUGAAAAUUUCCUGAUGAGUGUCAGUCAAGCAUCUUGAAGGAAGGGGCCUUUUUUCUAUUUUGUGCAAAAGAACCAUAUGGACUAGCAGUAUCCACUUUUCCUUUUUUCCCUAGUGCCCUUUACCUGCUAUAAUCACUGCUGUUUACUGAGUGCCGACCUUGUAUCAGAUGCUAAUAUAAUCAGUGUUGUGCUUGUAUAAUCCCAACUCUGAAAAAAAAAAAAGCUCUGGAUUGCAGAGUUUGCCAAUUUCCAUGGUGUAAAUAUACCCCCUUUGGCCAAGUUCAAGCUACCAAAGUUCUUGAGAGUAAAUGCGGAAUGAAAAGGAGAUGACCACAGUUGGUUUCCUGAGCCAGAGGGAGUCAGCUCCAGCAUAGUGCUGUCAGUUUGAAGAAUCAACUGCCUCAAGGGUUAAUAAGCAUUAGUUACUCUAGAAAGUGAUACUAUUCUUAUUCUUUCUCAUCCAGAUAAGGAAACUGAGGCAUUGGCAAGUCAUGUCACUCUGCCCAAGAUGCAGGCCAGUAAGCUAUGGAGUCAGGUUUAAAUCCCCGACAGCUGGACACUAGUGCCCACGCACCUCAGCCCCACAUCAUACUGCAAGUGGUAGUGCAAACGCUCCACAAAUUAUUUCCGGUUGAGGAAAUGUUGAUUUCAAGAAGUGUCUAUGGCUUUAAGUAUGGUAUUUGUCAGGGUUCCACCAGAGGAAGAACCAGCAAUAUGUUACAUAUUACAGAUCAUGUGUAUACAUAUAUUAAGAGAUUUAUUGCAAGGAAUUGGCUUAUGCGGUUGUGGGGGCUGGCCGGGCAAGUCAGAGCUGCAGAGGGCAAGGCAAUAGGAAGGGCAGGCCCAAAUUUUGGAGCAGGAGCUGACACCACAGUCUGCAGGUAGAAUUUCUUCCUUAGGGAAACAUCAAUUCUCUUUUUAGGGCCCUUCAACUGGUUGGAUCAGCCUCACUCACAUUAUCUGGGAUAAUCCUCAUUACAUAAAGCGAACGGAUUGUAGACUUUAAUCACAGCUAACAAAAAUACCCUCACAGAAACAUCUAUGUUCAUGUUUGAUCGAAUAACUGGGGAUGCUAGCCUAGCUAAAUUGUCAUAUAAAAUUUUAUGAAUUGAAUUAUGUUCCGCAUAAAGUAAUGUUGAGGUCUUAGCCUCUGGGUGAAUGUGACUUUAUUUGGAAAGAGGGUUUUUGCAGAUGUAAGCAAGUUAAGAUGAGGUCAUAUUGGAGCAGAGUGGGCCCUGAAUUGAAUAUGACUGGUGUCCGUGUAAGAAGAGGAUAAAAGUUUGGACACAGAAAUAUAGCGAGAAGGCCACGUGACAACGGAAGCCAACACUGGAGUGAUGGACCAACAAAACAAAGAAUGCCAACAGUUCGUGGAAAACACCAGAAGACAGGAAGAAGCAAGGAAGGAUCCUUCCUUAGAGUCUUCAGAGGGAGCAUGGACCUGCUAACACCUUGAUUAUAGACUUCCGACCCCGAGAUCUGUGAAACAGUAAGUUUCUGUUGUUUGAAGCCACCUAGUUUGUGGUUCUUCUUUUUUCAUGAUAGCCCUAGGAAAUUAACCCAGUAGGGACCUUAAAGAUAACACUAGAUGAUAAUAAAUCCAAAUAACGUCUACUUUACCAACAUCCAAAACUUCAAUUUUUUAAAAAAAGUAUGCUUAGCAGGAUGUGGCAUUCUCAGCAGUAACAUCUUUGUGGGUCAUUUCAAGUUUGAUGUGUAUCUGUAAACUAAUUUGAACAUUUUUUUUAAACAAUAUUGCAUUAGUUUCAGCUAUACAGCAUAAAGAUUCAACAUUUUUAUAUAUUAUAAAGCGAUCACCAUGAUAAGUCUACCAAAUAGCUUUUAUUUAAUUAAAUACAUGAUGGAAUUUAUACACAUUUCUAUCAAAACAAUCACUUGUGGAAAUAUUUCACUUAAGCCAAUAGGACUGAUACUGUAAAAGCAUCUUCAGCAGUGCACUGAAAUAAAUAUUUAUGGAUAAAUGAGGAUUAAGUUCAUUCAGUGCUUUCAGGGCCUGUUAUUCAUUCUUUGGACUUCUAUUAGUGUCAACAAUUCCUUUUAAGGCUAAAUAUGAUUUGAGGGAAUGGUCCAGAUUGGGUCAAAUUGAUGUGAUGGGGAACUACAAUGGAUUCAAUUAAUUUUUGCCUGUGACCUAUAAACUGUUUCUGAGAGCCU